UCUCCGUUGGUGAACCAGCGGAGGGAUCAUUACCGAGUUUACAACUCCCAAACCCCUGUGAACAUACCUAUCGUUGCCUCGGCGGUGCCCGCUCCGGCGGCCCGCCAGAGGACCCCCAAACUCUUGUUUUAUACAGUAUCUUCUGAGUAACACGAUUAAAUAAACCAAAACUUUCAACAACGGAUCUCUUGGUUCUG
rnacentral:misc_RNA from 1 species